GUCAGAGUGCAGAUGUUAAUUCAGGGCCUGAGUUCCAGGUAUGACAGAAAUAAGAAAAUACUUGUACCUGCCCUGUACAAUCAACCAAAAUCAUCCUAAAGGUGAAGAAAAAGUGGUCUGUGGCGGAGGAGACAGAUGCAUGUUUCUAGCAGGAUAAAGAUAUGUCAUAGGCAGGCAGUGGUUUUCAGCCCCCACAAACCGGCCUGGAACCUGCCACACAAAGUCAGGCAACCUCGAGCUGUGACCCAGUGAGCGUCUUCCACCCCAUCGAACAUCGCAGACCGCACAAAUAACAAAAAACAUCAAAGCAUGCAUGUUUUAUGUUUUCAUUGAAAUGCAUCACCUUGCAAAUAGGUAAACUUACCCAUUGCUUGUAACUGAUUAUUGUAAGUUUUUAAAUGUUUUA